UACGAAGGGGGGCUAGCGUUGUUCGGAAUUACUGGGCGUAAAGGGCGCGUAGGCGGUGUGUCAAGUCAGGCGUGAAAGCCCCGGGCUCAACCUGGGAACCGCGCUUGAGACUGGCACGCUAGAGUUCGGGAGAGGAUGGUGGAAUUCCCGGUGUAGCGGUGAAAUGCGCAGAUAUCGGGAGGAACACCAGCGGCGAAGGCGGCACUCUGGGCUGGAACUGACGCUGAGGAGCGAAAGCGUGGGUAGCAAACAGG
rnacentral:rRNA from 1 species